CUGCGCCACGAACACUUCAGCAGAUCACUAAAAUUCUGCAGCACAUGACAGCACAAGGAACAAGGAAGUGGCUGCACUUUCACCAAAAAAUGAAGACCGCACUGCUCAGUCUUUGUCUGGUCAGCACAAUAUCUGCUGCACCAUUGUCUGUCUUUAAUUACCUGCCGCACUAUGGCCCGGGGCCGUCGGGUCCAUCCACACAGGUUUAUUCCCCUGGAUCAUCUGGCAACACAGUUGGUGGCAAACCGGCCAGAUCAAACGGUUUUAUGAAGUAUUCUCUCCCCAAAGCUCCAGGACAGAGCAGUGUGGAAAUGUACAUCCCAAUUGAUACCAACCAGAAGCAGAUGCCCACAUUCCAUGCUCAGGCUCCACAGGCUGAGCAAAAAGAGCUGCAGAAAGGUUUUAUGAAAUAUUCUCUCCCCAAGGCUCCAGGACAGAGCAGUGUGGAAAUGUACAUCCCAAUUGAUAUCGACCAGAUGAUGCCAAAUUUCCCACAUUUACCUCCCAACACAAACCCACUGAACAUUCCUCAACCCCCACACCAGCAACCCCCUCAGCAACAGAUACCUACAUUCCAAGCUCAGGCUCCACAGGCCCAGGAACCUUUGCAACAAGAGCAGCAGGUAAAGGCCAGUCAGAAGAUGCAGCUGUAAUGAGGAAUAGCCAGAUUAUGACCGGCGUGCCACUCACUUACCUGCAGGAAUAUUUCCUGUAUGUUCUGGACCAGCCACUGAUUUUAAAUGUUCUGUAAGCAUCUAGUUUUUCACAUUAGAAAUGUGAUUAGCACCUAAACAAUGAACUGCAUCACAAAAGCAAGUGGAAGUUUUUGGAUAGUUCUGACCACAUUGGUAAAAUAAUUUUUUUCCACAAAUAUGACUUGCUUGUUUAAAUUACAGUAUAAUUUACGGAUGACAAAAAGCAAAAAAGCAUGCAUUCCAUGUGAUUGCAGCGUUCCAUGUUUUGUGUUAUGUUAGUGAAGUAGUGUAGAUGUGUAUUGUAAUGUUGAAAUUAACUUAAUAAAGCAACAAAGGC
rnacentral:lncRNA from 1 species